rnacentral:misc_RNA from 1 species
CAACCCUCAGGCCCCGCCUGGCGUUGGGGAUCGGCGCGGCGCCCCCGCUCUCGAGCGGCGGGCGCUGCCGGCCCCGAAAUUGAGUGGCGGUCUCGCUGUAGUCCUCCUCUGCGUAGUAGCUAACACCUCGCACUGGAACUCGGCGCGGCCAUGCCGUAAAACACCCCACUUCUGAA